CUCAAUUAAAUAGUGUACAUUUCUCCAUGUUAUUUUCUUGAUUAAUAACAGGGAACACUGAGACCAAAUGGAUGGACACUAAAACAUGAGAGCAUGAUGAAUAAUCUGAGAGUGACAUUACUGUCCUGUGGUGGAAUCCAUCAGGAGGACUAGCAUUUGACCCCAUCUGACCUUCACUUCCUUCAGCUCCAUCUGCCCAGAGGUCAGCAGUGCAUGAUCACACAUGAGAGAAAAAUCAAGUGAGAGACUGGAGGCCAGAGAAACUUUACACUGCUGUUGUGAGACUGUUAUCAGUGCUCAUGUCGGCAGGAACUGCAUCUAAACCCUGCUGUAAGACUUCAAUAUAAAUCUACUACAAGAUGAAGUUGGCAUUUCUCCACAUGAGAUCCGACACAUUUACAUCUACAUUAUUGAGUCAUUUAGCAAACGCUUUUAUCCAAAGUGACUUGCAAAUGAUGAACAUCACAAGCAAAUCAAAG